rnacentral:rRNA from 1 species
GUAACGCGUAAGAAUCUAACUUCAGGACGGGGACAACAGUUGGAAACGACUGCUAAUACCCGAUGUGCCGAAAGGUGAAAACUAAUUGGCCUGAAGAAGAGCUUGCGUCUGAUUAGCUAGUUGGUGGGGUAAGAGCCUACCAAGGCGACGAUCAGUAGCUGGUCUGAGAGGAUGAGCAGCCACACUGGGACUGAGACACGGCCCAGACUCCUACGGGAGGCAGCAGUGGGGAAUUUUCCGCAAUGGGCGAAAGCCUGACGGAGCAACGCCGCGUGAGGGAGGAAGGUCUUUGGAUUGUAAACCUCUUUUCUCAAGGAAGAAGUUCUGACGGUACUUGAGGAAUCAGCCUCGGCUAACUCCGUGCCAGCAGCCGCGGUAAUACGGGGGAGGCAAGCGUUAUCCGGAAUUAUUGGGCGUAAAGCGUCCGCAGGUGGUCAGCCAAGUCUGCCGUCAAAUCAGGUUGCUUAACGACCUAAAGGCGGUGGAAACUGGCAGACUAGAGAGCAGUAGGGGUAGCAGGAAUACCCAGUGUAGCGGUGAAAUGCGUAGAGAUUGGGAAGAACAUCGGUGGCGAAAGCGUGCUACUGGGCUGUAUCUGACACUCAGGGA